rnacentral:rRNA from 1 species
AAGUCUCCUGAAGGAACGUUAAAGACGAUGACGUUGAUAGGCCGGGUGUGUAAGCGCAGCGAUGCGUUGAGCUAACCGGUACUAAUGAACCGUGAGGCUUAACCUU